CCUAAAGAGCUGGGAUUACAGGUGUGAGCGACUGCACCCAGCCUCCUACUUUGUGAAAUUCUGCCACCGUGCCCAGUGACAGAUUGAUUAGAUGUAAAAAAUCUCCAUUUUCUUAGGAUGUCAUUAGAGAAUUACCUCCCUCUUGUAAUCCUCCCAAGAUGAUCUGAUAUAGGAUGUUACUCUUUUCUAAGACAAUCUGUUCCUUAAGAAAUCUGUGUGUGAAUGAGACUCUACAAAAUUCUUUGGUCAGACACUGUUCAUCAGGUCGUCGCAGGAGAUUCCAUAGAAAGGCCACACGUCGCUCUUUUCCUCUGAGAGCACCGAGAGAACAUCGUCAUGAAAAUAAAUAAGGAGCAAUAGAGCCAUGAAUGAGCACUAGGCCAGUCACGGAAUUAACAUCUUCAGAGGGACCGUGUUGAUUCAGGAAGGCGUUUCGAGUGGCCCCCGUGAGGGCUGCUCACCGUGCUCUGUGCUCGGCAUUCAUCGCUGCAGACAUGCUCUCCCCACCUAGGGGAGGCUCCCUGAGACCCGAACCGUGAGAGCUUGCAGCCUCCUUGGCCAUGCUCACCACCAUGCGUGGUUGGCACUUCCCUUGCACACAGUAGGUGCUUAGCAGAAGUUUAUUGUCUGAUUAACAAAAUCCUCUUUUCCAGUCCAGUGUGGAGCACCUGAUGGAGAAAAUGAAGACCACCAUCCAGAGGGGCCUUGUGCUCAGGGUUGGGCACCCUCUCCAUUUGAUAGAAACUUUGGAACCAAAAUAUCUGCCAGAGCUGUGGAGUGGAUUACUGCAAAACUCAAGGAGGCCCAGUGCAGAGAUAAGUGGUCUGGGGAGGGAGGCAGUCUGCCUUGGUGAAAAUGCUGUACUAUCGGGGAGAAGUAGGGUGCUGGUUCCUUCUUCAGUUCAGCACUGAGCUGCAUGUGAUGUUCUAACUUGUGCUGGUCUCUGAGCAUUGCUAUUUAACCAAACUUGGAUUUCUGGGAUAAGGUCAGCUUGGGCGUGGGUGACAUGUUCUCUUUUAUCACUGCUAGAUUCAACCUGAAGCUCUCUUGUGCAGGCUUUUUGCUCUGGAGAUCCUGAGCGUCAGCCCACAGUUUCCUUCACAGUUUAAGUGGGGCCUUCUAUUUUUUGGAUGUUUGUUAGGACAACCUCCUUGUGACUCCAUCCAUCAGAACUUCCAGUUUUGAGGAAGAUUUGGCUGCUGAAUGAAUUGUUCAUCUUUGUAGAACUAUGCAUGUUUUUCCUUGAAUCAGUUUUGAAAAAAAUUGACCACUGAUGAUUCCAUUUGUGUGCUGGGAAUAAGCAAAAGAAACGUUAUUUUUCAACCUGUGGCAGAGCUGAAGAAGCAAAUGGAUUUUGAGUAAAUCGGAGUUGUAUUGCCUUUGCAAACCCAGCCAAUUUGAUUCAGCCGACCCUACAAACCGCAUGUUUCUGGCAAGACCACUCACUGUGCUGGCCGUGGCAUCUUUCAGCCUCACUGCUGUGCCCUCAUCCCUCCACAGACACAGGAUUCCCAAAGAACAGUGGUGGCUCAAGCUGCGGCCCCUCAUGAAGAUCUUGGCCAAGUACAAGGCCAGCUACGAUGUGUCGGACUCAGGCCAGCUAGAGCACGUGCAGCCCUGAAGCGUCUGACCCAGUCCUGCCUGCAUGUGCCUACAACCUGGACUCACCGUGGACCAUCUGUUUUUGUAACACUUAAGUUAUUUAUCAGCACUUUAUGAAAGUAUUAUUGACAUUAAUACCUAACCAGCAAGCACCUGUCACCGCCCAUGUGCCCCACCAGCUCCAGUGCAUGCUGUGUGUGGACUGUGUCUCAUGCUUUCUGAUGUGUGUAUCAAAUGUUUGCCUACAACUGCAACAGUCCUCCGUUUUAGUUUUUUAAGUAGGAGAUUAAAACCUCAAUCUAUGGGUGGCUACUAAUGGUUUUCUCAGCACUUUUGUGGGCAAAGAUUAUAAAAAUAUUUUUAGUAGGGAUCACUGAACUACGCACAACUCAUAAAAGGAGAAAAAAGCCAGUUGUUUACACAGGCCAAAGGGAACACCGUGUUUAUUGCCAUGUGUCAGUUUCCAUCCACAGCAGCAGGCCAGGACCCUGGGCCUGGACCCCAGGCUCCUGCUCUCCUUAGAAAGUAAAAGAAACACAGGAAUCUUAUCUACUAGGCCUCUUGAUUGCAAUCCUAGCUGCAUGUUAAAACCACCAAGGUAGGGGUUCGAAAAAUCUGAUAGCCAGUUUCUCAUCCAGUCCAAGCCACGGUCCUCGCUGGGACCUAAUUUGGAAUUCUCUGAUGACUCUUGCCAGAAUAGACACGGGUGCUGGGGUGACAGCCCUGCCACCCUCGCGGGCCC